UUUUCUUUUUCUAUUUAACAGGGUAAAUGUGGGAAUAGGGGCUGGUGAGAUAACUCAGUGAUUAAGAGCACUGACUGCUCUUCUGGAGGUCAUGAGUUCAAAUCCCAGCAACCACAUGGUGGCUCAUAACCAUUCGUAAUGAGAAACAAAUUAAAACAAACAAACAAACAAACAAACAAACAUAAAACAGCCUAUGGGUUGGAGCAAGCAGGGCUGGAGCAAGAGGGAGAAGGGAAGGGGGGAAAGGAAAAAAAAAAGUAUAAAUUACUUGUUUAAAAAAAAAGUGUGGAAAUAGACAUGGGACUGGUAGGGCUAGGUAAGUUUUAUGCGAUGUAAGGGAGAGCUGUAGUUUUGAGUCUGAUGCUUAAGAGAGGACAGUAGGGAUUUUGGUUCAUACCUGUAAUCCUCAGGAGGGUCUCAAGUUUGAGGCUUGCCUAGGAUACAUGGUAAGACCUUGACUCCAAACAACAACAAACAAAAACCAAGUAAUGAAAAUGGCUAGGAGAGGGCUGGCAAGAUGGCUCAGUGGUUAAGAGCGCUGACUGCUCUUCCAAAGGUCCACUUACAUAUAAUAAAUAAAUAAAUUCUUUAAAAAGAAAACGGCUAAGAGAAAGGGAAGGUGUAAAGUGGUAUGUAGUGUCAGCAGCAUUGAGACUUGGGAGCUUCUUAGAAACAGGAUCUGGCCCUAUCCCCAAACUACGAAAUUCAAAACUUGCAUUUUACCAGGACCUACCUUCAUGUGUUCCUGCUAACAUUAAAUCUUGAGAGGUACUACUGGCUGAAGGUAGACUCUAGGACCAAGCUGCCUAUAUAUAACAGGUAGAGUUUUCUCAUUGUGUGUGUGUGUGUGUGUGUGUACGUUGGAGAUCAGAGGAAACUUCUGUGAAGCCAGUUCUCCCACUAUCACUGGAGGAUUGAAUUCAGGUCAUCAGGCUUGCAAGACAGACACACAACACUUGUUGAACCUUCUCGUCAACCCCAGGCUGCCAAAACUUAAAUUCUUGUUUUAUCAAUCUACUUAUGUGGGACCUUAGGGAUGCUUUUUAACCCGUACCAAGGACCUAUUAUGUAAGAGAUGGAGGGUCAACUCUAAUAAUCUGUCACUUAUUUUUGACUUACUGUAAAAGUUUUUGUUGUCUUAAAAGAUUUACUUUCGGUGUCUGGGUAUUUUGCCUGCGUGGAUAUCUGUAUACUACAUGUGUCCAGUGCCUAAGGUACUCCUGUAACUGAAUUAAUGGUUGUGAGCCAUAUGGGUGCUGGGAAUAGAACCCAGCUUCUCUGGAAGAGAGGCCAGUGCUCUUAAGCACUGAGCCAUUUCUCCAGCUCUUUAGAGACAGGGCUCUACUAUGUGAACCCUCUCAGUUCACCAGUUCCUGAACAACUGUGCUUUCCCAUUUAUAGAGUGGUGAAGCUUAAUUACGCCUGUCUCACGGAGAUGCUGCAAGAGUCAAAUCAUAGAAUGUCUGUUAAAUUACAAAACCUCCUAUUAAAACUUAAUUUACCAGUGAGGUGGUGGUGGUGUACACCUUUGAUUCCUGUCUCGAGAAGACUUAAUUUACUACCUUGCAAGGUAUUCUUAAGAAACUGACCUCAAAAUAGGGUGCAAUAAGAAGGCCAGGAGAGCUGUAUAGGAAAUGGUCCUUUUUAUUUCUGACUAACCUACAGCUCCAUUCAGGAGCAGGAGUAGACUCAUAUGCAGUGGUUCACAAUUUACUUAAAAACUUCUUCUUUUUUCUUGUUUUGGUCUCGGUGUCUCUUGCAGUCCAGUCUGACCCUGCAUUCCUCAUCUUCUUCCACUUCUACAGUGCUGAGAUUAUAAAUGUAAUUCAUAAUGAACUAGGAAAAGAACUUUCAUUCACGUUGUGUAUCUUAAUAUUCCCACAGGGUAGUUUUUCUCGUGUGUCCAUCCUAACAUCCCUUAGUGCUAGGAAUCCGAUUCAGGUCUCCAGGUCUUGCACAUACUUGACAAGCAAUCUGCCAUUGAGCUAGAUGUCCUCCCAGUGGUUACCCUAGUUUUCACGGGAAUCUGCUAACAGAAGGAUGCACACUAACAAUUCCUCAAGAUUUGCACUUUCAUUGCAUCCGAUGCUACCAGAGUUCUUUAUUUAGAGGGAGGACACAACAAAAUUCGAUGGGAUUUAUAAUACUAGAAAUUAACUUUGAGUUCUUGGAUCAGAGAAACAAUAUAUUGGGUCCCUAUCGAUCUGUAAAAUAGGGGCACAAGGCCUCCACAACAUUGUGUGGUUAAGAACAAAGGCUGAUGGUGAACCUACCAUGUCGUAGUGCCUCAAGUAAGUCCCUUCUUCCCUUUGUCAGAUUUUGCACGAGAUAUCACUACCUCUCCUACUUCGUACAUGGCGUAACUCCAAGCUGAGACCGCUCGGAUUCCUUUCCUCCACUUGCAACUCCUAACACCGAGAAAGGUGUACGGGCCACUGUGAGGUCUUCUCUCUCCGUAGUGGAUAACCUUUCUUGAGUUGUCGUUUGGGUGGCUGGAAGACGCUGAUGACUACUCCCAAGCGUCUACGGAACCAGAUCUUAAUCCUCAACUGGGCAUCAGGGACCAAGCUGUGUUCUUUUCAUCCCAACCCUCGCUAGAGUGAAAAGGUCGAAGCUCAGCUCCAAUUACAGACGCCAUCUUGACCGCUACGUGUGACGCCACACGUACAGCCGAAAGAGCAGCUGAUUGGCUGGGAAAGACCGGAGGAUAGGCGCGCGAAGCUGGAGACUGGAGGGUAAUGUAGAAGCCGAAAGGAACUACACUCCCAGACUUCCUUGCGCAUGUGACCAGCAAGCAGCAAGAGAAAGAGGAGCGAGGUUGGACUCGGACUACAACUCCCACUAGGACCCGCGUUGUCCGCCCUUUCCUUUCAAAAGGCAGAGGAAAAGGGACAGGAAGAAUGGAGGCUUUUGAGUGCUCGUUUCUCAAAAGGCGGGAAAGGCGAACUACACCUCCCGGCGAGCCGCGCGCGCCUGCGCCUGCGCUCUGGUAUCUGUCGCCAUCUUGCCCCUUCUGAGGCACCGCAAACAAACCUAAUUCCUGGUGUCCCCUAGUCUUGGCGGAGGAGCCUUUUAGAUGAGCCCCGAAAGGCCGGGCAGGGAGGACAAGCUCUUUGGGGCUACCAGACAGAAGCAGCAAUGCCUGUUGUGUGGCCAACCCUUUUGGAUCUCAGCAGGGAUGAAUGCAAACGGAUUCUUCGAAAAUUGGAACUGGAGGCAUAUGCUGGAGUUAUCAGUGCACUUCGGGCACAAGGGGACCUCACCAAGGAAAAGAAAGAUCUUCUUGGAGAGCUCUCAAAAGUCCUUAGCAUCUCAACAGAGCGCCACCGUGCUGAAGUUCGGAGAGCAGUAAACGAUGAACGGUUAACAACAAUUGCACAUAAAAUGAAUUUAUCCUUAUAUUUGGGUGAAAGACCAAGUUACAGUAUGUCUGGACCUAAUAGUUCUUCAGAGUGGUCCAUCGAAGGACGUAGAUUGGUACCUCUGAUGCCCAGGCUGGUUCCCCAGACUGCCUUCACUGUAACAGCGAAUGCUGUGGCCAAUGCAGCUGUCCAGCACAAUGCGUCCCUUCCUGUGCCUGCAGAGACAGCAAGCAAAGACGUAGUGGUUUGCUAUUCCUACACAAGUACCACGUCUACCCCAACCUCUACCCCUGUUCCAAGUGGCAGCAUAGCAACGGUUAAGUCUCCAAGACCUGCCAGUCCUGCCUCCAGUGUAGUUGUCUUGCCAAGUGGAAGUACUGUAUAUGUCAAAAGCGUUAGCUGCUCAGAUGAAGAUGAAAAACCCAGAAAACGCAGGCGAACAAACUCCUCUAGCUCCUCCCCUGUUGUCCUCAAGGAAGUUCCAAAGGCUGUUGUUCCGGUCUCAAAGACGAUCACUGUGCCUGUGAGUGGAAGUCCCAAGAUGAGCAACAUUAUGCAGAGCAUUGCCAACUCCUUACCACCCCAUAUGUCACCUGUGAAAAUAACGUUUACCAAACCAUCAACACAGACAACAAACACAACAACACAGAAGGUUAUUAUAGUGACCACAUCACCAAGUUCAACCUUUGUGCCCAACAUUCUCUCCAAAUCUCAUAACUAUGCAGCAGUCACUAAGCUUGUACCAACAUCAGUCAUUGCCUCCACGACUCAGAAGCCACCUGUUGUUAUAACUGCGUCCCAGGCCUCUCUGGUCACCAGUAGCAGCAAUGGCAACAGCAGUUCUACGUCAUCACCUAUUUCUAGUACAGUUGCAGUAACAACGGUGGUAUCUUCCACACCGUCCGUGGUCAUGUCAACAGUAGCACAAGGUGUAUCCACAUCAGCAAUCAAAGUGGCAUCGACAAGACUUCCUUCCCCCAAAAGCUUAGUGAGUGGCCCUACCCAGAUUCUUGCACAGUUUCCUAAACAGCAUCAGCAGUCUCCUAAGCAGCAGUUACAGCAAGUACAACAACAGACACAGCAGCCAGUGGCCCAGCCUUCUUCAGUGUCUCAGCAGCAGCAGCCUCAGCAGUCAGCAUUGCCGCCUGGUAUCAAACCUACCAUCCAGAUCAAACAGGAGUCAGGUGUUAAAAUCAUCACACAGCAGGUUCAACCAAGUAAAAUCUUACCCAAACCAGUGACUGCAACUCUACCCACCAGUAGCAAUUCCCCAAUUAUGGUGGUUAGCAGUAAUGGUGCAAUUAUGACAACUAAACUGGUAACCACUCCUACCGGUACUCAGGCAACCUAUACCCGGCCAACAGUGAGCCCAUCCUUAGGUCGUGUGGCUACAACCCCUGGAGCUGCAACCUAUGUGAAAACUACCAGUGGCAGCAUCAUCACUGUAGUACCCAAAUCAUUAGCUACCUUGGGAGGCAAGAUAAUUAGCAGUAAUAUUGUUUCUGGAACGACUACCAAAAUCACUACAAUCCCAAUGACUUCCAAGCCCAAUGUGAUUGUUGUACAAAAGACUACAGGAAAAGGAACGACCAUUCAAGGCCUCCCUGGCAAAAACGUUGUCACAACCUUGCUAAAUGCUGGAGGAGAAAAGACUCUUCAGACAGUGCCAGCUGGAGCCAAGCCAGCUAUAAUUACUGCUACAAGACCCAUCACCAAAAUGAUUGUAACACAGCCCAAAGGAAUAGGUUCCGCAGUACAGCCAGCAGCUAAAAUCAUUCCAACAAAAAUUGUGUAUGGACAACAAGGGAAAACACAGGUUCUAAUUAAACCCAAACCAGUGACAUUUCAAGCUACAGUUGUCAGUGAACAAACAAGGCAGCUGGUAACAGAAACAUUACAGCAAGCAUCCAGGGUAGCAGAUGCCAGUAAUUCAUCUGCUCAGGAAGGAAAAGAGGAGCCACAGGGUUACACAGACAGUAGUUCUUCUUCCACAGAGUCCUCCCAGAGUUCUCAAGAUUCCCAGCCUGUAGUUCAUGUAAUUGCUUCCCGGCGUCAGGAUUGGUCAGAACAUGAGAUUGCAAUGGAGACUAGCCCCACCAUAAUAUAUCAGGAUGUAUCCAGUGAAUCACAAUCAGCCACUUCAACAAUCAAAGCUCUGUUAGAACUCCAACAGACAACAGUAAAGGAAAAAUUGGAAUCUAAACCAAGACAACCCACUAUUGACUUGAGUCAAAUGGCAGUACCUAUUCAGAUGACCCAGGAAAAGAGACAUUCUCCUGAGAGUCCAUCCAUUGCUGUGGUAGAGUCAGAACUAGUUGCUGAAUACAUCACCACGGAACGCACUGAUGAGGGGACAGAGGUUGCUUUUCCCCUUCUAGUCAGCCAUCGCUCCCAGCCCCAACAGCCUUCCCAGCCCCAGCGGACCCUGCUUCAACAUGUGGCUCAGUCACAGACUGCGACGCAGACUUCGGUGGUAGUAAAGUCCAUCCCAGCGUCUUCCCCUGGAGCAAUCACCCACAUCAUGCAGCAGGCAUUAAGCAGUCACACCGCUUUUACGAAACACAGUGAGGAACUUGGAACUGAGGAGGGUGAGGUUGAAGAGAUGGACACAUUGGAUCCUCAGACAGGUCUGUUUUACCGCUCUGCCCUGACACAAUCGCAGUCAACCAAACAGCAGAAACUUAGCCAGCCCCAGCUGGAACAGACUCAGCUGCAAGUGAAAACUCUGCAGUGCUUCCAGACCAAACAGAAGCAGACCAUCCACCUGCAGGCAGACCAACUCCAGCACAAACUCACACAGAUGCCCCAGCUCUCUAUCAGGCAUCAGAAACUGAAUCCUCUCCAGCAGGAACAAGCACAGCCCAAGCCAGAUGCACAGCACACACAGCAUACUGUGGUGGCCAAAGACAGGCAGCUUCCUACCUUAAUGGCACAGCCCCCGCAAACUGUAGUACAGGUGCUUGCCGUGAAAACCACACAGCAGCUUCCUAAACUGCAGCAAGCUCCGAACCAACCAAAAAUCUACGUGCAACCCCAAACUCCUCAGAGCCAGAUGGCACUCCCCUCUUCAGAGAAACAGCCUGCAAGCCAGGUUCCUUAAAAGAAAACAGAACCUUCCCAUCCACCCUCUUACUAAAACAUCGAGCUUCAAAUGUCUUCCUAGUAUACCGCACGAAUGUUUCUUUUACCAUAUUUUCUGGAGUGUUUGAUUAGUUUUUCCUCAAAGAGAUGUAGCUAUAAUACACACAACCCCAAUUUGUUUUCAGGUGGAGCAGCCAAUUAUAACUCAAGGAUCCUCUGUUACAAAGAUAACAUUUGAGGGGCGCCAGCCUCCCACAGUUACAAAGAUAACUGGUGGCAGUUCUGUUCCUAAGCUGACAUCACCAGUUACAAGCAUAUCUCCCAUUCAGGCCUCUGAGAAGACAGCAGUGUCAGACAUUUUGCAAAUGUCUUUGAUGGAAGCUCAGAUUGAUACAAAUGUAGAACAUAUGGUAGUGGAUCCCCCAAAGAAGGCUCUAGCCACCAAUGUGCUCACUGGUGAGGCAGGAGCUCUACCCUCCACCCAUGUGGUGGUGGCAGGGAUGACGAAAUGUAGAGAGUCCUGUUCAAGUCCAUCUGCUGUUGGCCCUCCCCUAACGACCAGAAAAAUCGAAGCAGCAGGAGUGCCUACGACAGGCCAGUUCAUGCGUAUUCAGAAUGUAGGCCAAAAGAAAGCUGAAGAGAGCCCAACAGAAAUUAUCAUCCAGGCCAUUCCCCAGUAUGCUAUUCCUUGUCACUCCAGCUCCAAUGUGGUGGUGGAGCCCAGUGGGCUUCUAGAGUUGAACAACUUCACCAGUCAGCAGCUAGAUGACGACGAGACAGCCAUGGAGCAGGACAUAGACAGCAGCACGGAGGACGGGACUGAGCCCAGCCCCUCUCAGAGCGCUGUAGAACGGUCCUAGUGUGCAGACGCCGGAGUGCACUUUAGAGCCUGCGUGGUUACCAAAUGUCCAGGGAAACUUAAAAUUUGUUAUAGUAAAAAAGAAAAAAAAAAAAAAGAAAGAAAGAAAAAAGCACUUUGCUCAUAUUUAGGCUGGGGACCUAGAAGCAUUUUAACAAAAUUAAACUCACAGAGGAAUGUACUUUAAAAAAAAAAAAUAGAAAAAGAAAAAAAAAAAAGCAGAGGAAACGAUGCACCCCAUGGAGCCCGGCACCUUGUUGGUGCUAAGCAGCGAGAAGAGACUUUCCUGUGAGUGGUCCUCGACUGCUUUCCACUGAGCAAAUACCACCAGAGAGUAUGAAAAGGAAAAGAAAGGAGAAUAUGAAGAGUUUGUAUUUUUGAAAUGAUGUAUCUGAACAGUUUUUCAAAAAUUGUGUUUGUUUUUGCAAAUCCCUGGAGAUGUUGAUUUGGCUAGCAUUUUACAUUUGCUCAGUUCAUGAUUAGUUUAUGAAUACCUAGGGAAGUCCUGGCAUUGGAGUCCUUGCUGGACGGUAGACAUCAGUCAGGUUGCUGCCUGGGCAGUUUGGGGUGGCUUGUACAUGUGCUCCUUGGUUGUAUACUAAUUUAUUGUGGAGUUCCACACUUGCCUAUUUAUUUAAUGUAAAUGUUUUGAAGCAGGCCGAAUCCCUUUUCCUACAUGUCCUGGGAAGCUGGAUCCCUGGCCUUCCCACCUUCCCACCCCCUCACCCCCCUUUAAGAAGACGGAUUAGAGAAGAUUUGGUCCGGAAGCAGAGGAAAAGACAUUUCUAGCCCAAAGGAAAUGCUCAGUGGUGUUCCUGAAAAUGAGCUCUGCUCAUUGGAUGCUUUCUCGACACCGACGUUGCACACCCGUGUUGGACUGAGACUUUGAAAACAACUUUGACUUACUUUGGUUUAAAUCCUUUGAAAUGUAUGAAAAUGUUCACUUACAGUUCUAAAUGUAAUGUUUUUAAGUUUUUAAUUUUUUAGGGUGCAGUUUGUUUACGUGCAGGUGUGGUCUUGUGAUUGCUGUCUAUCACAAGUAGAGUGAAGGGUAAGGGAUGGGAGGGUAAGAAUUUUGACAAGCUGUGGCAAAGGAAACUAUACCUUUCAUUUUUAAAAAGUGUAAAUAGAAAAGUUUUUAACGGUUUUAUAUGAAUUUCACUAUAAAUAAGCAUUUUAAGACUGACAAAUGUUGAACUGUAUAUACAUUUAUCAACUUAACUGCCCAGUUUUUGGUGCUGAAGUACUGUAAGUAGAAUUUAUCAGUAGCGUCCUAAUUUCUGUGUCUACACCUGGGGAGAAGCUGUGAUGCUGUAGUUAAUCAACUUACACAAGUGCUUACACUUGUGUAACUUACACUGAUAAUCUCGGCAGGAGCAUCCCUGAGACACCUACCUUGUGGUGGUGAUUGUCCCCAUUUCUACUAGGUGAAAGUUACUCACCCAUAGAUGGAGCUCUUGGAUAGCAUUUUAUUGUACAAAUGUGUUUCAACAACCACUUUGUGACUGUUCCUAGCUAAGGGGAAAUUUAACUUCUCUUGGGUCAUAGACAUCUUUAAGAAGCUGAUUAUUCUAUGAACUCUCUCACCAAAAAAAUACACAUGCCAGGACACGUGUUAAGAUUUUGCAUACAAUUUUAGGGACUUAAGAACUCCCAAGACCAUCCAUGUAUUCCAGGUUAAGCCUUCUGUUAUGGUCAGCUCAUUACUUACAGGUGUAAGUUUUUAUCAAAUAAAAUAUCUUUUGGAUACACAUGGAUCAGGAAAUAAGAACAAACUUGAAUAAGUUAUGUUCCAUCUCUACUAUCAGCAUACCAUGUCCGUGUUUUGAGAAUAUAGCCUCUCUGUGCUCCAGCAGGUUAAAUGACAAAUGAGUCUACUUUAGUCUGCUUUUAAAGAAUCACUUGUGCAUAUAUAUUUGCACACAUACAUGAAUAUCAAGUAAGAUUUAUUUUUUUUCCUUUGAAUGGUUCUAAUGCCAAAUAGAGCAUGAUUUUAUGAACAAAUAAUAUUCACUCCUAUUUUAUGUGCCAGGUAAGGCUCUAGCCACCAAGGCUAUUACAGUGAGGACAUGGGAAAUCCUACCCAGAUGGAGCUUACAGGCAAGGCUUCCUGCUCGUGAAGGAAGGGGGAGCAACAAUUCCAGAGUUCUCCUCUUUUUUUUAAUCAGCACAUAUUCAGCAUAUGUAGUGGUUUUGUCUGUGUGUGUGGAGGACAGAGAUCAACCCUGGGGUUGUUGCAUAGAGGCCAUCUUCCUGAUUCCUGGGUUGCUGUUUUUUAAAUUACAUUUUUAUGUAUUUUAUUUUUGUAUAUAUAUGUGUGUGUAUGUAUUCAUUAUGUCUGUAUACAUGUGCAGGCUGGAGGACAACUUACAGGAGUUGGCUCUCUUGCCACCUGGGUCAUGGGAAUUUGACUCAGGUGUCAGGCCUGGCAGCAGGAGGCUUUACCCACUGAGGCAUCUUGCAGGUCCCCACCUUGUUUUUUGCAACAGGGAUCUGGAGCUUGCUGACUAGUAUAGACCUGCUGCCUGCAUAGAUUUGCUGCCUAGCAGGUCCACUUCCCCAGUGCUGGGGUUAUAGGCACAAGUCAUGGCCUGGCUUUUCAUGUGAGAGCUGGUUUCUGUUUGUGUGGCAAGCACUGUACUGACCUAUCUCCCCAGGGCCAGCACUGAGUUUCUUAGACAUUCUCCAGGUUCCCCCCAACCCUUAUUUUACAUGUGUGAGUGUUUGGCCUAUACAUUUCUGGUGCACCAUAUACAUUCAGUGCCUACCCAUGGAUUCCCUGGGACUGAAGUUACAGACAAUGUGAGAUACCAUGUGAGUGCUGGGAAUUGAAACCAGGCCCUGUUAGAUCAGCUACCAUGGCUCUAGAUGACUCUUAACUACUGAGCCAUCUCUCCAGGCCCUUUCUUAAGUGGAUUGACAAUGACAGAACAUGUCUGGAUCCAUCCUUAGACAUGCUUUUGCUGAAGUUGAUAGCACUAUUUCUUUGUUUUAUGUUUAAGUCCAUAAAUUAAAAGUAAUUGCAAGCUAUCUCUGAAGAAUAUUUAGAGAUAAUGAUGUACUUCGGCAAAGCCAUUAGAAUUCUUUUCAUGCCGGGCGUGGUGGUGCACGUCUUUAAUCCCAGCACUUGGGAGGCAGAGGCAGGUGGAUUUCUGAGUUUGAGGCCAGCCUGGUCUACAGAGUGAGUUCCAGGACAGCCAGGGCUACACAGAGAAACCCUGUCUCAGAAAGGAAAAAAAAAAAAAAAAAAAAAAAAAAAACCAACAAAAAGAAUUCUGUUGAUCAUUGAAGAUUUGGUUUUGAGUUGGAGAUGCAGCUCAGUUAGUAGGAUGCUUGCCUGGAAUGCUCAGCUCUGAGUUUGAUUCUUAGCACCACAGAAAAACUAGGCAGGGUGGUGGAUGCUUAUAAUUCCAGUUCUUGGGGGUUGGAAGCAGGAGAAUGGGAAGCCACAGUCAUUCCCUACCACAUAAUACAUUUGACCCCAAAUGUAUUAUCUCAAAAGAGAUUUGGUUUAAAGUAAACUAAUAAAUACCUACUAUUGCAGGUGUACCUUA